rnacentral:rRNA from 1 species
UACGUAGGGUGCGAGCGUUACUCGGAAUUACUGGGCGUAAAGCGUGCGCAGGCGGUUUUGUAAGCCAGAUGUGAAAUCCCCGGGCUCAACCUGGGAAUGGCAUUUGGGACUGCAAGGCUUGAGUGCGGCAGAGGAGACUGGAAUUCCUGGUGUAGCAGUGAAAUGCGUAGAUAUCAGGAGGAAUACCGAUGGCGAAGGCAGGUCUCUGGGCUGACACUGACGCUCAUGCACGAAAGCGUGGGGAGCAAGCAGG